rnacentral:rRNA from 1 species
CCUACGGGAGGCAGCAGUGGGGAAUAUUGGACAAUGGGCGCAAGCCUGAUCCAGCCAUGCCGCGUGUGUGAAGAAGGCCUUCGGGUUGUAAAGCACUUUUGUCCGGAAAGAAAAGCGCUCGAUUAAUACUCGGGUGUUAUGACGGUACCGGAAGAAUAAGCACCGGCUAACUUCGUGCCAGCAGCCGCGGUAAUACGAAGGGUGCAAGCGUUACUCGGAAUUACUGGGCGUAAAGCGUGCGUAGGUGGUUUGUUAAGUCUGAUGUGAGAGCCCUGGGCUCAACCUGGGAACUGCAUUGGAAACUGGCUUACUAGAGUGCGGUAGAGGGGUGUGGAAUUCCCGGUGUAGCAGUGAAAUGCGUAGAUAUCGGGAGGAACAUCUGUGGCGAAGGCGACACCCUGGACCAGCACUGACACUGAGGCACGAAAGCGUAGGGAGCAAACAGGAUUAGAUACCCCAGUAGUC